rnacentral:rRNA from 1 species
UCCCACCCGUGUAUACCGUACCCUGUUGCUUCGGCGGGCCCGCCUCACGGCCGCCGGGGGGCCUCGCGCCCCCGGGCCCGCGCCCGCCGAAGACCCCAACACGAACACUGUCUGAAAAGUGCAGUCUGAGUCGAUUGUUACCAAUCAGUCAAAACUUUCAACAAUGGAUCUCUUGGUUCCGGCAUCGAUGAAGAACGCAGCGAAAUGCGAUAACUAAUGUGAAUUGCAGAAUUCAGUGAAUCAUCGAGUCUUUGAACGCACAUUGCGCCCCCUGGUAUUCCGGGGGGCAUGCCUGUCCGAGCGUCAUUGCUGCCCUCAAGCACGGCUUGUGUGUUGGGCCCCGUCCCCGGUACCCCCGGGGACGGGCCCGAAAGGCAGCGGCGGCACCGCGUCCGGUCCUCGAGCGUAUGGGGCUUUGUCACCCGCUCCGCAGGCCCGGCCGGCGCCAGCCGACCAACCCAACCAUUUUCUACAGGUUGACCUCGGAUCAGGUAGGGAUACCCGCUGAACUUAAGCAUAUCAAUA